ensembl:lncRNA
AAGGCAGCCUUUUUCCCCCUGAGCACAACUCUAAUUAACAGCGGUGGAUGUAGAGAGGCCAGGCAAUGUGGAGCUACUAAGAGGGCCUGGGGCACUGGGCAGACUCACUGUCACCUCGGCUUAAGUGCUGGGUCUUGGGCAGCCAUCUCCUCUCAUCAGAUGCUUUCAGGAAAUGGGUUUGUGCUUCCUCAGUGGUGGAAUGGACCCACAAUGGGCCGGAACGGCAAGAAUGUGAUGGUGAAGCCUGGCCACUGACAGUCUGCCCCUAGGGGCACAAAUUACCCUGACUGGUACAAAGAAAAGAUGACACACGCAGCCUCAGGCCCCGUCUUCCUGGUCUUCCCGUCUCCAGUACAACCUAGUGAAUCAGAUUGCUUCCAAUUAAAGAU